CCUACGGGUCGCACCAGUGGGGAAUAUUGCACAAUGGGCGCAAGCCUGAUGCAGCGACACCGCGUGAGGGACGAAGGCCUUCGGGUUGUAAACCUCUUUCGGCAGGGACGAAGCGCAAGUGACGGUACCUGAAGAAGAAGCGCCGGCCAACUACGUGCCAGCAGCCGCGGUAAGACGUAGGGCGCAAGCGUUGUCCGGAUUUAUUGGGCGUAAAGAGCUCGUAGGCGGCCUGUCGCGUCGACUGUGAAAACCCACGGCUUAACCGCGGGACUGCAGUCGAUACGGGCAGGCUAGAGUUCGGUAGGGGAGACUGGAAUUCCUGGUGUAGCGGUGAAAUGCGCAGAUAUCAGGAGGAACACCGGUGGCGAAGGCGGGUCUCUGGGCCGAAACUGACGCUGAGGAGCGAAAGCGUGGGGAGCGAACAGGAUUAGAUACCCCGGUAGUC
rnacentral:rRNA from 1 species